rnacentral:rRNA from 1 species
CGGACGUGUGAGUAACGCGUAGGAAUCUACCUGGUAGUGGGGGACAACAUGGUGAAAACCAUGCUAAUACCGCAUACGCCCUAAGGGGGAAAGCGGGGGAUCUUCGGACCUCGCGCUAUUGGAUGAGCCUGCGUAAGAUUAGCUAGUUGGUGGGGUAAAAGCUCACCAAGGCGACGAUCUUUAGCUGGUCUGAGAGGAUGAUCAGCCACACUGGAACUGAGACACGGUCCAG